rnacentral:rRNA from 1 species
CACGUUCGGAUUGCAGUCUGCAACUCGACUGCAUGAAGCUGGAAUCGCUAGUAAUCGCGAAUCAGCAUGUCGCGGUGAAUACGUUCCCGGGUCUUGUACACACCGCCCGUCACACCAUGGGAGUUGGAAACGCCCGAAGUCAGUGACCGAACCGAAAGGGAGGAGCUGCCGAAGGCGGGUCGAAUAACUGGGGUGAAGUCGUAACAAGGUAUC